AAUUUAUUUCUGUCUUGAGACCCUGUUUAUUUUGUUCGAUAUUUUUUAAACACGCAUGAAAUUGUUGAAAGUUUCCAUAAUUUCUCAUCCUCAUUUUCCAUUGGAUUACACAGAUAACUGCAUAAAUUCUUGUUUCUGGGCUCCUCAUGCAUUUAACUUCUAGCUUAAGAUAUUUUUCACAGCCCAGUUCGAGUGUGAAAGCCCAGCUGGUCCAAACAGAACUGCUCAUACGAUGUUCCCAUUGAAGACUGUCGCCCCCCUGCUCUGAUGGAAACCUCUCCAGCCAGCACUCUCUUAGAAGGGACGGAGGAAGGUUUCAGGGGCUGGGGCACAGCUGGUGCCCCUCUGGCCCAUUCCUCCCCUUGGCUGUGGAAGGAGAGCCCGUCCCGGUGCGGGGCCAGCCCGUGAGCGAGUUCCGACCGUGCCCGUGUGGGGCUGCUUUGGUAGGUUCGAAGCACAGGAGCGGCACGACUAAAGCGCUUAGCUCGAUGCGGCUAUUAGGAUGCCUAAUAAAUAUUUAUAGCCCCUCACCGAGGAGGUGAUUGGCAGCACGGGGGCAAUCCCUACCCUACAGCUGCAGGCAGCACCCGCCUCGGGGGAAGCAUCCCGGGCCGGGGCUCGCCUGUGGCAGGGUGGCGUUGCUCCCGCACCCGCGGAGGGGCUUGGGACGGCCCUCGGAGCUCCACGGUUCGUGCCUUCCCCCUCAGGGGCUGCGGGCACGGGCAGGGCAGGGCUCGCCCCGGCCCGCGGAGGGACGCUCGGCCCAGCCCGGCCCGGCCCGGCCCGGCGCUGCUCCCCCCGCGGUGCGGGAGGCGCUGCCGCAGUGACUGCGGUCCCGCGGAAAGCUGCGGAGCCGCCCGCCCCGCCGCAGCCGGGCUGCCUGCAGGUGAAGUGAAAGUCGUCGGGGAGAGAGAGGAGGAGGCGGCGGCGGAGAAGGAGGAGAAGGAGGGAGCGCGCAGCCCGUCCUGCGCUGCGGCCGGCGGAGGCUCCGCACGGCUCCCGGCGCUCCGCGGCCGCGGCAUCAUCCCGGCUCGGCCGGAGUUUCCCGAAGCUGCUGUGCUGUGA
rnacentral:lncRNA from 1 species